AGCGAACGUUUGCGGCGGGCUUAACACAUGCAAGUCGAACGAGAAUCCCUUCGGGGAGGAAAGUGGCGCACGGGUGCGUAACACGUGGAUAACCAACCCAUUGGUUUGGGACAACACCGGGAAACUGGUGCUGAUACCAGAUGUGUCGCAGCUGUCUUCAGGCGGUUGCGAGAAAGGCCCGCAAGGGUCGCCAACGGACGGGUCCGCGUCCCAUCAGCUAGUUGGUGAGGUAAUGGCUCACCAAGGCGACGAUCUGUAGCGGGUCUGAGAGGAUGAUCCGCCACACUGGGACUGAGACACGGCCCAGACUCCUACGGGAGGCAGCAGUGGGGAAUUUUGGACAAUGGGCGCAAGCCUGAUCCAGCCAUGCCGCGUGCGGGACGAAGGCCUCGGUUGU
rnacentral:rRNA from 1 species